GGUCAUGUAAUCCGUAAGAAGCCCUUUAUCUCAAAGGUAAAUAUGAAAAAACCACUGGAGUUCGCUAAGGCUUAUGUUAAUAAGUUCUGUAACAAAGUUCUAUUUUCCGACUUAACCAAAAUAAACCUUUUCGGAUCGGAUGGACGGCAAAUGGUGUGAAGAACACCUGGAACGGAGCCUCAGCCUAAGAAUUUGGUUUCAACUGUAAAACACGGUGGCUGCAAACAGAUGUUGUGGGGUUCAAUGUCGGCCUCUGGACCUGGAACCAAGGAAUUCAUUGACUAAACGAUAGACAAGAUGGGUUAUUUGAACAUCCUCAAGCGUAACCUGCAGCCUUCCGUGGAUAAAUUGAGUCUACCUCGUGAUUACUACUUUCAACAAGGUUAUGACCCCAAACAUAGCGCUAUUGUCGUACGGGAAUGGUUGCUGUAUAACACCCCUAAACAUCUCGAAACCCCUCCGCAGUCUCCCGAUCUGAACCCGAUAGAACACCUCUGGUGGGAGGUCAAGAAUCGCCUGAAAAAUAAAAUUCCUAGGAACAAGGCAGAAUUCAGAACGGCGAUAAGGAGAUCUGGGAGAACAUUCUAUCUACCCGCAUAAUCGAAAACUAUACAACGAAUCAUCAGUAUUAUUCUGUUCCGAUUACAUUAAUCUUACCGAUUCGUUUCUCCACUAAUCAUGUGUCUACAGCUAAUGCGCAUUCGAUAGACAUGAUAAAAUAUUAUUCCGAAAAGAUUCGAUUGAUACUUUGGUACCGAAACUGUGUAUACCUGCGUGUGAGUGCAGUGUGUCUUGACUCCCAUCAGAAGAGGUGUCUUGACUACCAAAAAAGUGACGGAACGAACGGAAAGAAUUAAAACAAAUAAUAUUUUCCCGGAAGAAUCCAUUAUUGUUUAAAACUCGGUUUUGAUGGCAAAUAAAAUCCUCCAGAACCUAUUUCCUCGUAGAAAAUUGCAACUGUUGGCGGAUCAGCGGAGUCGGAAGAAAAAAUGUUUACCAAUGAGAACUCCGGAUUACAGAAUAGAAUCGGCCGGGGCUCAUCUCUUGAUGAUAAAAAAGUUAGCUGCUGAAGUCACUGGAUUCGCGUUGCCGAGAGAGCCGGAAUCACCGGUGCAGUUGCUGUUGGUUCGAACGAACAAAACGAGUUCGAAACCAGUGAAAACGCCAGAACGAUGGUAGCCGAUUGUAGAAGCGGUUGCAAUUUUGGUUCUCACAAUCAAAAAGAAUUCAGACUGGCCUGGCCGUAGACUUUAAGGAAAUUUAGAACGGAGAGUGAGAACUGACUUAGGAGCAGGAUUAUGCUUCGCUGCAAAAUUAAGUAUAAACUGGUACCUUCAGUGAUUGCACACGGAUUAAUCGACUAUUCCGUCAGAUGUGGAUGAGAUUUCAGAAUCAAUCGAUUUAGGAGUGAUUUUGCUUAAAGAGAAAUAUUCCGAAACGUAUGUGACCGCUAAUUUUCCUGAGAAUAAGCAGCUAUCCAAUCUUUUGGAAAAACUGUCUGAAACAUAUGUACAUCCGUCAUUUUCAAUCGGUUCUUGAUUAAGGGGGAGUCAGGCAAAUGCAGAUUCUGAAAAAUCCGUCAAGGAGCUGAAACUUGAUCGAUUAUAUGAUCGAAAACCAAAAAUGGUACGAAAAUGAAAAUGAAACCGAAAAUUGAAAAAAACCCGUGAGUAGUGUGCUUCAAGACCGUUAAAUCGUUAAACUCUUCCUGAAUAGAAUAAGUGAAUUUUCUGAACAAGUCUGAACAAUAUCAGGUCUGUUUAUGGAAGAGAGGUGAAGAAAAAAAAAGUUAAACAAACAUUUUAGGCAUUUUAAGGGAAACUUCUUUGUUUGCACCCUAAUGAAAGACAUAAUUAUCUGUUAUUUAUGUGAAACUUAUCGAACACAUAUGUUCAAUAAUUAUAAACAAGUUUUAUAACCUAUAAGAUUACAGAUAAAUCUUCAGGAGAAAUAUGUACCUAAUAAUAUAAUAAUCCAAUGCCAUACAUUAAGAAAUAAAUUUAUCGAAAUUACGAACCGUUUCCUUUAGUUUUGGUAAUGAUAGAAAGAUCUUUGAAAGAUACAUAGUAUCGUCGUAAAAACUUGAAAAAAAAGGAUAAGAUGACGAUUACAUCUAUCUUUCAGGUGCUCUCGGCUAAAUUUCAAUAUAGAAAAAAGCAAAAAAUUGAAUCGUUUAUUUACUUAACAACCCGUUCCCUGUAUCGUUAUUUGUGUCUAAACGAUUCCAUUUCAUGAAAAAACGAUUAGUAUAAUCGUGCAUCAAUAAUCCAAAUACUAUAAAGGGUAUCUUUUGAGUGUCUUGGAUAGAAGAUAAUGGGGAUCGUUAUUGUAUGAUACUGCUCCAUGCGGGUAGUGGAACCAAAAACCUCGUUGAAUCGAUGCCACGACGCUUGCAAGCAGUGCUAGAUGCCAAAGCUGGUCAUACCAAAAACUAAACUAGUUGUUUCUUGAUAUUUGUUACUAGCUAUGAAAUGAUUUUAAUUUUAAGAAAAACCAGUACUGUACGAUAAAUUUUG